AGCGAACGCUGGCGGCAGGCCUAACACAUGCAAGUCGAACGAACCCUUCGGGGUUAGUGGCGGACGGGUGAGUAACACGUGGGAACGUGCCUUUAGGUUCGGAAUAACUCAGGGAAUCUUGUGCUAAUACCGAAUGUGCCCUUCGGGGGAAAGAUUUAUCGCCUUUAGAGCGGCCCGCGUCUGAUUAGCUAGUUGGUGAGGUAAUGGCUCACCAAGGCUACGAUCAGUAGCUGGUCUGAGAGGAUGACCAGCCACAUUGGGACUGAGACACGGCCCAAACUCCUACGGGAGGAAGCAGUGGGGAAUCUUGCGAAAUGGGCGAAAGCCUGACGCAGCCAUGCCGCGUGGAUGAUGAAGGUCUUAGGAUUGUAAAAUCCUUUCCCCGGUGAAGAUAAUGACUGUAGCCGGAGAAGAAGCCCCGGCUAACUUCGUGCCAGCCGCCGCAGUAAUAC
rnacentral:rRNA from 1 species